GACGAACGCUGGCGGCGUGCUUAACACAUGCAAGUCGAACGGAAAGGCCCUGCUUUUGUGGGGUGCUCGAGUGGCGAACGGGUGAGUAACACGUGAGUAACCUGCCCUUGACUUUGGGAUAACUUCAGGAAACUGGGGCUAAUACCGGAUAGGAGCUCCUGCUGCAUGGUGGGGGUUGGAAAGUUUCGGCGGUUGGGGAUGGACUCGCGGCUUAUCAGCUUGUUGGUGGGGUAGUGGCUUACCAAGGCUUUGACGGGUAGCCGGCCUGAGAGGGUGACCGGCCACAUUGGGACUGAGAUAGGGCCCAGACUCCUACGGGAGGCAGCGGUGGGGAAUAUUGCACAAUGGGCGGAAGCCUGAUGCAGCAACGCCGCGUGCGGGAUGACGGCCUUCGGGUUGUAAACCGCUUUCGCCUGUGACGAAGCGUGAGUGACGGUAAUGGGUAAAGAAGCACCGGCUAACUACGUG
rnacentral:rRNA from 1 species